rnacentral:rRNA from 1 species
AGCAGCGGUAAUACGUAGGGUGCAAGCGUUAUCCGGAAUUAUUGGGCGUAAAGGGCUCGUAGGCGGUUCGUCGCGUCCGGUGUGAAAGUCCAUCGCUUAACGGUGGAUCUGCGCCGGGUACGGGCGGGCUGGAGUGCGGUAGGGGAGACUGGAAUUCCCGGUGUAACGGUGGAAUGUGUAGAUAUCGGGAAGAACACCAAUGGCGAAGGCAGGUCUCUGGGCCGUUACUGACGCUGAGGAGCGAAAGCGUGGGGAGCGAACAGGAUUAGAUACCCUGGUAGUCCACGCCGUAAACGGUGGAUGCUGGAUGUGGGGCCCGUUCCACGGGUUCCGUGUCGGAGCUAACGCGUUAAGCAUCCCGCCUGGGGAGUACGGCCGCAAGGCUAAAACUCAAAGAAAUUGACGGGGGCCCGCACAAGCGGCGGAGCAUGCGGAUUAAUUCGAUGCAACGCGAAGAACCUUACCUGGGCUUGACAUGUUCCCGACAGCCGUAGAGAUAUGGCCUCCCUUCGGGGCGGGUUCACAGGUGGUGCAUGGUC